UGUUUUCACUCAAUAAAAUUCAAAAUUUCACUACUAAAAAGGGGGUUAACAUCCUAGGGUACUUAGGGGUUCCAAAAGUCACCUUAAAACACUUUUAACAAGACAAACGAGAACCCAAAAAACCACCCUUUGGAUUUGGCCGAAUUUCCCCAAAAACAUGGCACCAAAUUUUAGCUCCAAAAUUCAUGCUCAUAUGAACUACAUCUACAACAUUUGAGAUGGCAAAUUUUCUAACAAAAUUUACAUUCAAAGAAGCAAGAAUAAAACUUGUAACAAUUACAACAUUCAAAUCAAAGACUAUGAACUACAAAACCCAAAAGGAUUCACCAACUACUAGACCUAGGCUCUUGAUACCACUUGAAGGAAAUUUUGUGAAAAACAUGUUCAUUUGAGCAACAUCUAUGGCAUGCAAUUAACAUUUAAAAGGCGAAAUCAUGUUUGUAUGCACUCAAAAACAAAACAUUACCCAUGAAAUUCAAAGCCUAGUAGAAAGGUGAACCAAGACUCAACUCAAGAACAAAGUGAGUUGAGAGAUUUUAUACCUUUGUUGAUUCCUCUUUGCAUAAGCAAAGGCUAAUCACCCAAGGAGAGGGCCUUCAUUCCUUGCUUCUUAGAUCCAUGGAUUUCUUGGAUGAGGAUGGUUGAAAGGAUUCUCCAAGUUCCCAAAGUUGAGAACCUCUAAUUUUUCCACACCAAGGAUGGACUUGAAGAAGAGAUGAGUGACCUUGGAGGAUGAGAGAUUGCUCGCUAAUCUCCUCCAAGGGGGCCAGCCUCUUAGAGAGAAAAGGAGAGCAUUGUGUUCUCAUCCUUUCCCCAAAAGAAAAACCCUAAAGAUGAAAUGGCUAUAAAGUUUCCUUUAUACCACCUCACAAUGGAGUGGCAAACUUGCAAUUAAAGCAAGUUCACUACCCUCCUCUAUUUGGCCAGCCUUAAGGGUUUAUUGGGCUUUCAAGCCCUUUGUUUAUUCAAGUUGUCAUACAAGUUGAGUUAAUGGGCUUGACAUUCAAAUCUCAUUGGGCCUUGCGGCCCAAAACUAACCCGAGGUCUUUAACGAACUUUAUUCGUUUGAUUAAUUAACAUAUUAAUUAAUCCUUGCCAUAAAUAAUUAAACCAUUUAAUUAUCCUUACUCAUCUCCGUUGUUUCUUCAAUCUCAACCUUACACGGUGUACGAUCCAUUAGGUUCCUUUUAGCGAGGCAGUGGGUGAUUAGAAUUCUUUCAAAGCGAUUGUGAAUUGAAACUUACUUUCAAUUCUCCCUUUAGUGAUUAUACACGUUUAGGGCUUCCACAAACCAUGAGUGACACUUAGCAGUAUGUCAUGGUUACCCAAGCUAAUCAGAAGAGGUGGAGAACCUAUUCAGUUUAGGAUUACAAUGCAAUACGAUCUUUCUCUAAUACAAUACUCUUGACCACAUUGUUUGGUUUCAUAGUUUAAUCAUGUCUAUUAUCCAAUGUGAUUCAUUUACUUAUAUGAUUACCUUGAAUGUGAUUUGGAACGACUUCCUAAAUCUCAUUCAUACUUUGGCCAGAGAUUUUUAAUCAUAUCAUAGAGUAUUCUCUCUCAAACGGUUUGAAGGUUAGAGAUCCCUUGUUGCGCAUUCACUUGCCUCCAUGGCUAAGUGACUUAACCCCAACUAUGUCGUGGACACCCUCUGACAAAGUGACUUUGACAUAGUCAAAGAUCAAGGACCUAACCACAAGACAACUAUGAUGCCUCAGGUCAAAGGACUACUUUGCAUUAUCCCAACCAUGAGUUCUCAUGCGACAUGAGUAUGAGAACUCCUCGUUGAUCGUGUUCAAUGGACUCAUUCUCUAUUGAGCACCUACAUGCUUGUCUUGGUGUCAAUCACACCAAUGACUCGAGACCAGUCACUUUCCCUGAGAUAAGACACAACACAUACUGAUCUUAACGGACUGUCAAUGCCCAAUUGGCAAUCCUAUGAUCAGGAACGUGUAGGAUAUUUAUACGAAAGAGAAUGGUCUCAUGAAUCUAACUUCUUUAAAUUACAUUCUCCUAAUCACAUAUUCCUUGGACUUAUCAUUUAAGCAUAUAACAUUUAUAUGAGACGGCUUAAAACAAUAAUCUUUGCCCUUGAUAUUAAACUAGAUUAGUUUAACAUGUGAAAUGUCCGUAAAGUAUCAUCAUAUGAUUGGUUUUAGGGUACAUUUCCAACACUAAGAUCAAGGAUGUCUGCGUUCACCAAUAUCCUUGCUUUCAUUUCAAUUUGUUGACUCAAUCGUUAGUAAAUCAAUUGUAAGUCAUUGAAUAAGUUUUAAAUAAAACUUAUUUUCAAAUAUAUCUGCAUCACUACUUUGAAUUCAUUAUUUUCAUUAUGAAGAAUAUUUUUAUAACAAAUGAUUUUGAAUGGCAUAAAAUUCUUACUCACAUUCAAUUCAUCGAAUACCUCAAGUUCAAGUUAAACACUGAUCAAUCAUUUGUUUAAUUCUUUCUAUUUAUUUAUAACAGUUGGUUUCAUGGCAUUUUCAAUCCUGGUUAUCCUCCACAUCAAAUUCCACAUAAUUCAACAAACAAUUGAUUCAUCUCAUCAAUCAACCCUAAUCAUCAUUGCGCUUGGUAUAAUUGUCCUCAUCGUUAUUAUAUAUAUAUAUAUAUAUAUGCACACACUAUAAAAAGGAAAAGACCCACUCACCUAAAGUCCACGCUACAACUCCCUAGCACGAUUAUUGAGGUGUCACGAAUGAUCGUCGCCUAGAACAAAUAUCAAAUCAUGUCUCAUAAUUCUGAUCGAUAUAAUACAUCUUACAUAAAACACAUCUCCACGGACGUUCUAUAAUGAUUUAAAACCCAUUGACCAAAAGUCAAUCAUCGGUCGAAAGUCGACAGUAGGGUCCACAACACUACGUAACUCGAUCUGGAAGAUCCACAUCUCGAAUUUCCAAUUUGUAACUUCCCAAGAGUUUCAAUAGGUUUCUAGAACAACAUCAUAAAGUUUUAGAACGAUCCAACGGUUGGAUCUCCGCCAAUUGCUAAAAUUAAGUCGCAGGCGACGUUUCGAUUUACAAACUUAGAAAACCCAUUCGGGAAGAUCCGUACAUCAGAUUCCCAAUCCAUCAGUUCCUAAUAUCCUUAAAUAUUAUGUACUAUUACGUAUUAAAUGAAGGAUUUAUUUUGAAAAACAUGUUCAUUUGAGCAACAUCAUAUAGCAUGCAAUUAACAAUUAAAGGCGGAAUCAUGCUUGUAUGCACUCAAAAACAAAACAUUACCAUGAAAUUCAAAGCCUAGUAGAUUGGUGAACCAAUUAUCAACUCAAAACAAAGUGAGUUGAAAUUAAUACCUUUGUAGAUUCCUCUUUGCAUAAGCAAA
rnacentral:lncRNA from 1 species